UACGAAGGGGGCUAGCGUUGUUCGGAUUUACUGGGCGUAAAGGGCGCGUAGGCGGCCUGCUAAGUCGAACGUGAAAUCCCUGGGCUCAACCCAGGAACUGCGUCCGAUACUGCGGGUCUCGAGUCCGGGAGAGGUGAGUGGAAUUCCUAGUGUAGAGGUGAAAUUCGUAGAUAUUAGGAAGAACACCAGUGGCGAAGGCGGCUCACUGGCCCGGUACUGACGCUGAGGCGCGAAAGCGUGGGGAGCAAACAGGG
rnacentral:rRNA from 1 species